CCACUGAGCGCGAGUCUUGCCCUGCUAACACACGACGUAACAGUUACGUAACGUACUGGUAAUUUUUGGUAAUUCCAUGACUUACCAAUUGACAACGUAACUACGACGUCGCAUGCCCGUAAUUUUAUUACCAUCACAUUACCAACUCACAACGUCGUCAGUACGUCCUUCCAACGUGACCAGAUAACCAAGAACGUCCCAGAUAGGUCCUCUAUUGGUAAUAUAUUGGUAACUUCAUGACUUACUGGCAACGUAACUACAACGUCGUAUGCACGUAAUAUCAUUACCAUAUAUUUUUUUACGUUAUUUAUAUGCUCUCUGAGUAUAGAGCCAUUUAAAAAGUGUAAUUAAACUUCAGACUCAAGAUUAAACGUUCCUUAAAGAUAAAAUAUGUUUCUUUUCACCAAGUCAGAAUAUGGACAUGCUUUUAGUAUAUAGUGACGUGACAUACAGGCGCGCGCUUCCACAACUGACGCACCGCACGCACAGUAUUGACAAGAAAAGAGUUGUGAAACUUUCUAUCUCGUAAGGAGUUAUGAACGUGAAAUAAUGACACAGACUGGCUACACCAUCUCAUCUGCAGCAGAGAUUGUUGUAUCAGGAGGACAGCGCGUUUGUUUGACGCACUUUUCACUUCAACUGUGUCUGACAGGAGAAUUAGCUUUCUGAGCCUUCUAGCCGUUGAGUUACCAUGGCAACCGCGUAUACAUCAGCUGCUGGAGAGGAGAGGACUCGUCUGACAUUUUUUCUGUUUCUCGUCUGUUAUACCAAAGAAAACACCAACAACUGCGACAGAUUUUGAUUUCAGGAGUGUCUUAAAAACCCUCUAAAACAGAGGGGAAGUUCCAAGAAAAUGACUAAUGGGAGCUGCUGACAGAGAUAGAAAACACAGGUGAUGCUACAAAGCUUAUUAAAUAACUUCAUAUUUAUUUUUUACAAUAUAUCAUCAUGCAUCUGUAAAAUCUAAACAUGUGAAUUCUGGUAUCUAAAGAUUUUUGUAUGUUUUCCAUAUUGCUAUUUUUCUUUUCUGCAUUUCCCCUAUUCUCUAGUUUGUUUAUUUCUAAUAAGGAGCUGGAGGCCGUGAAGAUACAGAUCCAUGAUAUUGUGGAGAAGCAGGCCCAGCCGAGCGAGUGGAGAGCUGUGCUGGAAAUAUUCAGGGGUUGAUGCUCAUAAGUCCAGGGUAAGUAUACAGCUAACCCUACUACCACCUCUACUCUGUGUGGUUCUCUGCAAAGGCCCGGUGUACCCAGGAUGCGAUCUUCCCAGAUGUCCUUCACCCUAUUUCAUAGUGUAAGACAUGAUCCAGGCCCUGGGCGACGACCUCUCUCCAUCCGCCGCCUCCGGUCUUCAGGAUCUCCACCAGAACCCGAUUCGCUCCACUUCGCGAGACAGAACAAAACGCUGUGAUCAUCAGAGACUCCAUCGUCCGGCACGUUUGUGCUGUGUUAGCUGAAGAUUCCCGUGAUCCUGAAGGGUAAGAGGAGCAUCGGAGCGGACGUGCUUCACGCUGGGGUUUACAACACCAUGCUACGGCAGACAUAGACACUGAAGAGGGACUUCAGGAGCCUGAUCAAGACGGUGCACAGCAUAUCGCCUGCAUGAUGAUAAUUGUGUCAGGACCAAUUCCCACGUAUAGAUGAGGACAUGAAAGGUUCAGUAGACUUUUUGCUUUAAACGAAUGGUUAUUGUCAUGCUGUAAAGAACAGAAACUGCUUUUUGUUA